rnacentral:rRNA from 1 species
UUUCCGGUUGAUCCUGCCGGACCUGACUGCUAUCGGAUUGAUACUAAGCCAUGCGAGUCUUUGUAGUAAUACAAGGCAGACGGCUCAGUAACACGUAGUCAACCUACCCUAUGGACAAGAAUAAUCUCGGGAAACUGGGCAUAAUUCUUGAUAGAUCAUAAUGCCUGGAAUGGUUUAUGGUUAAAAUGAUUCGUCGCCAUAGGAUGGGACUGCGGCCUAUCAGCUUGUUGGUGAGGUAAUGGCCCACCAAGGCGAUUACAGGUACGGGCUCUGAGAGGAGAAGCCCGGAGAUGGGUACUGAGACACGGACCCAGGCCCUAUGGGGCGCAGCAGGCGAGAAAACUUUGCAAUGUGCGAAAGCACGACAAGGUUAAUCCGAGUGAUUUCUGCUAAAGAAAUCUUUUGCCAGUCAUAAAACCACUGGUGAAUAAGGGGUGGGCAAGUUCUGGUGUCAGCCGCCGCGGUAAAACCAGCACCUCAAGUGGUCAGGAUGAUUAUUGGGCCUAAAGCAUCCGUAGCCGGCUUUGUUAGUUUUCGGUUAAAUCCAUGUGCUCAACGCAUGGGCUGCCGAAAAUACUGCAUAGCUAGGGAGUGGGAGAGGUAGACGGUACUCAGUAGGAAGGGGUAAAAUCCUUUGAUCUAUUGAUGACCACCUGUGGCGAAGGCGGUCUACCAGAACACGUUCGACGGUGAGGGAUGAAAGCUGGGGGAGCAAACCGGAUUAGAUACCCGGGUAGUCCCAGCUGUAAACGAUGCAGACUCGAUGAUGCAUUGGCAUAAUAGCCAGUGCAGUGUCGCAGGGAAGCCGUUAAGUCUGCCGCCUGGGAAGUACGUACGCAAGUAUGAAACUUAAAGGAAUUGGCGGGGGAGCACCACAAGGGGUGAAGCCUGCGGUUCAAUUGGAUUCAACGCCGGGA